GGGCCCGCACAAGCGGUGGAGCAUGUGGUUUAAUUCGAUGCAACGCGAAAAAACCUUACCUACUCUUGACAUACUUGGAAGCUCUUGUAAUGAGAGUGUGCCUUUUGGAACCAAGAUACAGGUGCUGCAUGGCUGUCGUCAGCUCGUGUCGUGAGAUGUUCCGUUAAGUCGGAUAACGAGCGCAACCCUUACCCUUAUUUGCCAGCGAUUCGGUCGGGAACUAUAAGGGGACUGCCGGUGAUAAACCGGAGGAAGGUGAGGACGACGUCAAGUCAUCAUGGCCCUUACGAGUAGGCUACACACGUGCUACAAUGGGGAAUACAGACGGACGCUAAGCCGCGAGGUGGUG
rnacentral:rRNA from 1 species